GUGGCUCAGAUUUACCAAAAAGAGACUUCAUGCAAACAAUUUCUCUGGAUUAGAAUCAUCCAUAAAUAUGAGUCAAUACAGAUGCAGCUCAAAGCCGAACAGAAGAGAAAGGAGAAAAUAAAAGAAAAUCCCACCCGAACAGCAAGAGAACCUGCAUGCGCAGAUGUGAGCGAAGGCUUUCAGGAUAAACUGGCAAUGGAUCAAUUCAGAGGUGCUCAACUGGACUUAAGCUUUAACACUACGGUCAGUGAAUAGCAGCCAAGGACACUCCACGAGGUCUCUGGGGUUUGCAGAGGAAAUUGUGAUUCUCCUGUUGCAGCCAUGGACCAAAGGAGGAAGCAGUUUCUGAUGACAAGGGUGAAAGACCAGCUCUACAAAUUCCCUAAGUACAGUUCUGUAUCAGGGAAAUAGGAUACAAGUCUGUCCUGCAAUCUUACUGAAAAAUAAUAAAAACAAAAAAACUUGGCCCAGUAAAAUUAAAGUGAGAACAGUGUCAACUUAACUUGAAAUCUGGCAGUGUGAAAAGAAAGUUUAUUAUUAAUACAAGGCUGCCACAGGCAGAACAUCUUUACUUCUUAGAGAACUUCUCUUUCAGCUCAGGAAAUGGAAGGACACCAAACUGAAGAAUCAAAACUUGGGAACGUAUCACAGGACCAGCACACCGGUUUUAUAUCAGGCUGGACGGCUAACAAUAAGAAGGGGAAUUUUGGCAAUUGAAUGUGUAAUAGAAUCAGUGAAAUGUGAAAGAAUUGUAGAUGUUGUUUCAAACUUUAUAUUUAUUAGACUAGACAAGUAAAAAAGACUAGGGAUUUGGGAGAUCCAAAAUGGAAUGUCUUAAUUGAUUUCAAACGGAGAGAAUGUCUGGGGAAUGUGAAAACAUCCAAAACCUGGGAAAACAGAUUCUGCAACAGGAGGACCUCUGUAAUGUGAACAAGAGGCAGUCUACAGAGAGCAAGAUCUGUUCCACAACAGAGGAUCCUUUGAGUUGUAGUGUUUACCAUGCUAUCUCAAGCCCUAACCACUUCGUUCUCUGUAAUUUGAUUAUUUGGUCAUGCCCUGGAAUGCAAAGUACAACUCUGAUGUAUUUGUAUAAGCC
rnacentral:lncRNA from 1 species